CCCAGGACACUGGAAAAUACUUGAAAAACAUGGAUGUUCCUUGACAGAUUGGUUCUGUGGACUGUGGUGUGUUCAUGUUGAUUGUUGUCACGUCACGGAUCGGGGAAGCAGGAGCAGGAAGACGGAGAAUCGGGAAACAAAGGAUUUAUUGGGGAAACCAGCUAGGAACACGGAACAAUAGAAGUAGCGACUUAAAUGACAUGAUUGGGGAAACAUAUUUUGAAGCGGAGUUAAAUACAUAGGACUAAUGAAAACAACUGGAAACAGCGAAUGACAUCGGGGUUCCACACGAGGUUAACGAGGGGGCGUGGCACACGGGAGGAGCGGACAAGCGGCGCAUGACAAUUGUAAGACAGACCACCUUGAAUUGUUGGACUUGUAAUACAGAGAAUGUAUUGAAGUAUUCCCCCCUCCCCUCCCUUUUAUCAGUAUGCACUCUGCAUGGCCUUGGUGUGUCUUGAGUAUUACAAAAUGCACCAUGAACUGUCUAUAUUAUAUGUCUAUAUUAUAUUUUUAUUUAUGUCAUAAUAUGUGAAUUUGAUCUGUUGUUUUUCAGUGAGUUGCAGGGAUUUGACAAAAACAUCCUUUUAGAAAUGCGUGAGGAAGGUCAAGACUCUGGUCUCCAGCUCAC